UUGCUAAUUAAAAUGUCGCUCUCAAGCC
rnacentral:piRNA from 1 species